rnacentral:rRNA from 1 species
UACGUAGGGCGCAAGCGUUGUCCGGAUUUACUGGGCGUAAAGAGCGCGCAGGCGGCUGGCCAAGUCCGAUGUGAAAUCUCCCGGCUUAACCGGGAAACUGCAUCGGAAACUGGUCGGCUUGAAGGUGGGAGAGGGUAGCGGAAUUCCCGGUGUAGUGGUGAAAUGCGUAGAUAUCGGGAGGAACACCAGUGGCGAAGGCGGACUACCUGGCCUGUUCUUGACGCUGAGGCGCGAAAGCUAGGGGAGCAAACAGG